rnacentral:lncRNA from 1 species
CUCCAGCUGGCCCGCAAGCGCGGCGCGCAGCCCCGGUUCCCGCUCGCGCCUCUCGCUCCACACCUCCCUGCAAGCUAAGGGAGCCGGCUCUGGCCUUAGCCAGCCCAGAAAGGGGCUCCAACAGUGCAGUGGUGGGCUGAAGUGUUCCUCAAGUGCCGCCGAAGUGGGAGCCCAGGCAGAGGAGGCGCCGAGAGCGAAGGAGGGCUGUGAGGACUGCCAGCACGUUGUCACCUCUCAGUGUCAGAGAUGGGGUAAAAUGGUGAAAUAGAAGGCUCUACCAGUUACCCCCAACUACCCACAAGGACAAAAUUUAACAAAUAUGUACACAAGAAAAGCACCUUCAUAAGAAGUAAAAAUCAGUUAAGCCCUCACAGUACCUGGUUUUGAAUUCACAUCGCUGAAAGAAGCACUGAAUAGAGUUAUCACAAGAUUUGAUUUGGGAGCUUCUGCCGAGAUUUCAGAGAAUGCAUGGAAACACUUGGACAUCCAGGAAGAAGUUUGCUGCAGGGGCAGAACCCUCAUGGAGAACCUCUACUAGGGCAGUGCUGAGGGGAAAUGUGGGAUUGGAUGCCCCACACAGAAUCCCAACUGGGUUAGUGCCUAGUGACACUGUGAGAAGGGGGCCACCGUCCUCCAGACCCCAGAGUGGUAGAUCCACCAACAGCUUGCCAAAAGCCACAGGCACUCAACGUCAGUCCUUGAGAACAGCCAUGGGAACUGAGACCAGCAGAGCCACAGGGACAGGGCUGCCCACUCCUUCUGUAAGUGUGGUCUGAAUGUAAGACAUGGAGUCCAAAGAGAGGAUGUUGGAGCCUUAAGAUUCAAUUACUGACUUCCUGGGUUUUAGACUUGCACGGGGCCUGUAUCCCCUUUAUUUGACCAAUUUUUUCCUUUUGGAAUGGGAGCAUUUAGCCAAUACCUGUACCCCCAUUGUAUCUUGCAGGUAACUAACUAAUUUUUGAUCUCACAGGCUCAUAAGUAGAAGGGACUUGCCUGGUCUUAGAUGAGACUUUGGACUUGAUCUUUUGAGUUAAUGCUGAAAUGAGUUAAGACUUUGGAGGACUGUUGGGAAGGCAUGAUUGUGCUUUGAAAUGUGAGAAGGAGAUGUAAUUUGGAAGGGACCAGGGGUAGAAUGAUAUGGUUUGUCUCUGUGUCCUCAUCUAAAUCUUAUGUUGAAUUGUAAUUCCCAGUGUUGGAGGAGAGGCCUGGUGAGAGGUGAUUGAAUCAUGGGGGCAGACUUCCUUUUUGUUGUUCUCUUGAUAGAGUUCUCAGGAGAUUUGGUUGUUUGAAAGUGUGUAGCAUCUCCCCGUUCACUCCCUCCCUCUCCUACUCCAGGCAUGUAGGGCAGGCUGGCUUCCUCUUUGCUGUCUGCCAUGAUUCUAAGUUUCCUGAGGCCUCCCCAGCCAUGCUUCCUGUACAGUCUGCAGAACGGUGAGCCAAUUAAACCUCUUUUAUUGAUAAACCACCCAGUCUCAGGUAAUUCUUUAUGGCAAUGUGAGAAUAGACUAAUUGUAUAAUGUAUUAUGGAAUAGACUAAUACAGGAGUGAUUCAUUUUAUAAUGUAUUGUUUAUGUGGAAACAUGAAGCAAAUGAUUGAGAAAGAAAAUAUUUUAUAAUUAAGAUAACUUCAUUGUAUAAUAGAACUUGGGUCUGUAAUCUGACGGAUGUGAUUUUAUCCCAACCCUUUAUCUUAUAUGCCGUGAAACUGUUAACAGAUAACUUUUCCUUUAUCAAACUAUAGUAUCAUGUAAAUUUGGAAGAAUAAUAUCUUUUGUGGAAAACAUAACAUUCUUGGUAUUUUGCUUUACCUACAUAUAAAACAACCCAAAAUAUUUUUGUUAUUU